GCCUAAAGGGGCCGUAGCUUGAUAAUAGGGUCCCUUGAGAAAUCCGCCGGCUUAACUGGCGGGCGUUCAGGGGAAACUUGUUUUCUAGGGACCGGGAGAGGUGAGGGGUACUGCCGGGGUAGGAGUGAAAUCCUGUAAUCCCGGUGGGACCACCUAUGGCGAAGGCAUCUCACCAGAACGGGUCCGACAGUGAGGGACGAAAGCUGGGGGAGCAAACCGGAUUAGAUACCCGGGUAGUCCCAGCUGUAAACUAUGUGCGUUAGGUGUGUCAGUGACCACGUGUCACUGAGGUGCCGAAGGGAAACCGUGAAACGCACCGCCUGGGGAGUACGGUCGCAAGGCUGAAACUUAAAGGAAUUGGCGGGGGAGCACCACAACGGGUGGAGCCUGCGGUUUAAUCGGACUCAACGCCGGGAAUCUCACCGGAUAAGACAGCUGAAUGAUAGUCGGGAUGAAGACUCUACUUGACUAGCUGAGAGGAGGUGCAUGGCCGUCGUCAGUUCGUACUGUGAAGCAUCCUGUUUAGUCAGGCAACGAGCGAGACCCACGCGAGCAGUUGCCAGCUUGACCUUCGGGUUGAUGGGGACACUGCUCGGACCGCCUCUGCUAAAGGGGAGGAAGGACUGGGCAACGGUAGGUCAGCAUGCCCCGAAUUAUCCGGGCUACACGCGGGCUACAAUGGACAGGACAAUGAGUUUCGACACCGAGAGGUGAGGAUAAUCUUCUAACCCUGUCCCAAGUUCGGAUUGCGGGUUGUAACUCACCCGCAUGAAGCUGGAAUCCGUAGUAAUCGCGUUUCGACAUACCGCGGUGAAUAUGUCCCUGCUCCUUGCACUCACCGCCCGUAA
rnacentral:rRNA from 1 species